rnacentral:rRNA from 1 species
AUUGAACGCUGGCGGCAGGCCUAACACAUGCAAGUCGAGCGAGAGGCGGACGGGUGAGUAAUGUCUGGGAAAAAGCCUGAUGGAGGGGGAUAACUACUGGAGACGGUGGCUAAUAUCGCGUACCCUCGCAUAUGCCCCGAUGGGAUUAGCUAGUAGGUGGGGUAACGGCUCACCUAGGCGACGAUCCCUAGCUGGUCUGAGAGGAUGACCAGCCACACUGGAACUGAGACACGGUCCAGACUCCUACGGGAGGCAGCAGUGGGGAAUAUUGCACAAUGGGCGCAAGCCUGAUGCAGCCAUGCCGCGUGUAUGAAGAAGGCCUUCGGGUUGUAAAGUACUUUCAGCGGGGAGGCGUUACCCGCAGAAGAAGCACCGGCUAACUCCGUGCCAGCAGCCGCGGUAAUAC